ensembl:miRNA
GACUUAGACCACACGGGGAGAGCAGAGUCCAGAGCACAUGGGCCACUGCACAGACCUAGGCUCUGAGUC